rnacentral:rRNA from 1 species
UCCAGGGCCCUACGGGGCGCAGCAGGCGCGAAACCUUUACACUGCACGACAGUGCGAUAGGGGGACUCCGAGUGCGAGGGCAUACAGUCCUCGCUUUUGUACACCCUAAGGUGGUGUACGAAUAAGAACUGGGCAAGACCGGUGCCAGCCGCCGCGGUAAUACCGGCAGUUCGAGUGAUGGCCGAUCUUAUUGGGCCUAAAGCGUUCGUAGCUUGCUGGUCAAGUCCGUCGGGAAAUCGACGUGCCUAACACGUCGGCGUCCGGCGGAAACUGACCAGCUUGGGACCGGAAGACUCGAGGGGUACGUCCGGRGUAGGAGUGAAAUCCUGUAAUCCUGGACGGACCACCGAUGGCGAAAGCACCUCGAGAGCACGGAUCCGACAGUGAGGAACGAAAGCUGGGGUCUCGAACCGGAUUAGAUACCCGGGUAGUCCCAGCCGUAAACGAUGCCCGCCAGGUAUGGCGCAGGCUACGAGCCUGCGCUGUGCCGCAGUGAAGACAGAAGCGGGCCGCCUGGGAAGUACGUUCGCAAGAAUGAAACUUAAAGGAAUUGGCGGGGGAGCACUACAACCGGAGGAGCCUGCGGUUUAAUUGGAUUCACGCCCGGAA